CUGAAGAAGAAGAUGAUGAUGGAG
rnacentral:sRNA from 1 species